AGCUGCUGCCAUGGAGCCAGCCGGGCUAGAGCGGCUCCUACGGGAGCUGCUGCUACCGGACACCGAGCGCAUCCGUCGGGUACGGAGCAGGCGUAACCCGGCCAGGGCGAGCGGGAGGUUGCGGGAAAGGCCCGACUCUCACCCCUAGCUUCCCCCCAGGCCACGGAACAGCUCCAGAUCGUUCUUCGGGCCCCCGCCGCUUUGCCGGCUCUCUGCGACCUGCUAGCCUCGGCGGCCGACCCCCAGAUCCGCCAGUUUGCGGCCGUGCUGACCCGCAGACGACUGAACACCCGCUGGCGACGGCUGGCGGCGGAGCAACGGGAGAGCCUCAAGUCCCUGAUCCUGACGGCCCUGCAGAGAGAAACAGAGCACUGUGUGAGCCUCAGCCUGGCCCAGCUCUCAGCCACCAUUUUUCGAAAGGAAGGCCUGGAGGCCUGGCCACAGCUUUUGCAGCUGCUUCAGCACAGUACCCACAGCCCCCACAGCCCAGAGAGAGAGAUGGGGCUUUUGCUGCUAAGUGUGGUGGUGACCUCCCGGCCCGAGGCCUUCCAACCCCACCACCGGGAGCUUCUUCGGCUUCUGAAUGAGACUCUUGGUGAGGUGGGCUCUCCUGGGCUGCUCUUCUACUCCCUGCGCACUCUGACCACCAUGGCUCCCUACCUCAGCACUGAAGAUGUGCCUCUCGCUCGGAUGUUGGUGCCCAAGCUGAUCAUGGCCGUGCAGACUCUGAUCCCCAUAGAUGAGGCAAAGGCCUGUGAGGCCCUUGAGGCUUUGGAUGAACUGUUGGAGUCAGAGGUGCCGGUCAUCACCCCCUACCUCUCUGAAGUCCUCACAUUCUGCCUGGAGGUGGCUAGAAAUGUGGCCCUGGGCAAUGCGGUACGCGUACGUAUUCUCUGCUGCCUCGCUUUCUUGGUCAAAGUCAAGAGCAAGGCCUUACUGAAGAAUCGUCUCCUGCCACCCUUGCUGCACACCCUUUUCCCCAUUAUGGCUGCUGAGCCCCCACCAGGCCAGUUGGAUCCCGAGGACCAGGAUUCAGAAGAGGAAGAGUUGGAGAUUGAGCUGAUGGGGGAGACUCCCAAGCAUUUCGCUGUACAAGUUGUGGACAUGCUGGCACUACACCUGCCCCCCGAGAAGCUCUGUCCCCAGCUGAUGCCCAUGUUGGAAGAGGCUUUGCGGAGCGAGAGCCCAUACCAGCGCAAAGCUGGACUCCUGGUGCUGGCCGUGCUGUCUGAUGGAGCUGGAAACCACAUCAGGCAGAGACUGCUGCCCCCACUGCUGCAGAUUGUGUGCAAGGGCCUGGAGGACCCCUCGCAAGUUGUACGCAAUGCUGCGCUGUUUGCCCUGGGCCAGUUCUCAGAAAACCUACAGCCCCAUAUCAGCAGCUAUUCAAGGGAGGUGAUGCCACUGCUCCUCGCCUACUUGAAGUCGGUGCCUCUUGGACACACACACCACCUAGCCAAGGCCUGCUAUGCCCUGGAGAAUUUUGUGGAGAACCUAGCUACGGCUGCCCAGGCCUCACUGCUGCCCUACUUCCCUGCCAUCAUGGAGCACCUGCGGGAAUUCCUGUUAACAGGCCGUGAGGACCUUCAGCCUGUGCAGAUCCAGAGCCUGGAGACACUGGGGGUGCUGGCACGAGCAGUCGGGGAGCCCAUGAGGCCGCUGGCUGAGGAAUGCUGCCAGCUGGGUCUGGGCCUCUGCGACCAGGUAGACGACCCUGACUUGCGGCGCUGCACGUACAGCCUAUUUGCAGCCUUAUCGGGUCUGAUGGGUGAGGGCCUGGCGCCCCACUUGGAACAGAUCACCACGCUCAUGCUGCUGUCACUGCGUUCCACCGAGGGCAUUGUGCCUCAGUAUGACGGGAGCAGCUCCUUCCUUCUGUUUGACGAUGAGAGUGAUGGGGAAGAAGAGGAGGAGCUCAUGGAUGAGGAUGUGGAAGAAGAGGAUGACUCAGAGAUCUCAGGGUACAGCGUGGAGAAUGCCUUCUUCGAUGAGAAGGAAGACACCUGUGCUGCCGUGGGGGAGAUCUCUGUGAACACCAGGUGAGCAUUCGCCCUUCCCUGGCACUGAAAACCCUGCCUGGGGGCCCCUUACACACGGCUGUGUCUCUCUCUGUAGUGUGGCCUUCCUUCCAUACAUGGAAAGUGUCUUUGAAGAAGUAUUUAAACUGCUGGAGGUGAGCGGGCCGGCGGGUGGAGUGGGUGGGGUUCUCAGGCUGGGGGCCCUGUGUUCACGGUGCACAUAGCAGACAUAUCCCGCCCCUCCUCAUCCUGCAGUGCCCUCACCUGAAUGUGCGGAAGGCAGCCCAUGAGGCUCUGGGUCAGUUUUGCUGUGCACUGCACAAGGCCUGUCAAAGCUGCCCCUCGGAACCCAACACUGCUGGUGAGGAGAGGCUGGGCCAGGCUGGGGGUUCUUGGGGAGGGGCAGGGCCUGACUGGUGCUUCAGCCAAUAAUGUCCCCAGCUUUGCAGGCUGCCCUGGCCCGAGUGGUGCCAUCCUACAUGCAGGCAGUGAACAGGGAGCGGGAACGCCAGGUGGUGAUGGCCGUGCUGGAGGCCCUGACAGGGGUGCUCCGCAGCUGUGGGACCCUCACACUGAAGCCCCCUGGGCGCCUCGCUGAGCUCUGUGGCGUGCUCAAGGCUGUGCUGCAGAGGAAGACAGCCUGUCAGGAUACUGACGAGGAGGAGGAAGAGGAAGAUGAUGAUCAGGCUGAAUACGACACCAUGUUGCUGGAGCACGCUGGAGAGGCCAUCCCUGCCCUGGCAGCCGCGGCUGGGGGAGACUCCUUUGCCCCAUUCUUUGCUGGUUUCCUGCCAUUAUUGGUGUGCAAGACAAAACAGGGCUGCACAGUGGCAGAGAAGUCCUUUGCAGUGGGGACCUUGGCAGAGACUAUUCAGGGCCUGGGUGCUGCCUCAGCCCAGUUUGUGUCUCGGCUGCUCCCUGUGCUGUUGAGCACCGCCCGAGAGGCAGACCCCGAGGUGCGAAGCAAUGCCAUCUUUGGGAUGGGCGUGCUGGCAGAGCAUGGGGGCCACCCUGCCCAGGAACACUUCCCCAAGCUGCUGGGGCUCCUUUUUCCCCUCCUGGCGCGGGAGCGACAUGAUCGUGUCCGUGACAACAUCUGUGGGGCACUUGCCCGCCUGUUGAUGGCCAGUCCCACCAGGAAACCAGAGCCCCAGGUGCUGGCUGCCCUACUGCAUGCCCUGCCACUGAAGGAGGACUUGGAGGAGUGGGUCACCAUUGGGCGCCUCUUCAGCUUCCUGUACCAGAGCAGCCCUGACCAGGUUAUAGAUGUGGCUCCCGAGCUUCUGCGUAUCUGCAGCCUCAUUCUGGCUGACAACAAGAUCCCACCAGACACCAAGGCCGCACUGUUGCUGCUCCUGACGUUCCUGGCCAAACAGCACACCGACAGCUUUCAAGCAGCUCUGGGCUCACUGCCUGUUGACAAGGCUCAGGAGCUCCAGGCUGUACUGGGCCUCUCCUAG
rnacentral:sRNA from 1 species